GUUGAAACACCGGUUUCCGUACGGUCAUCGAAGUUAAGAAACGUCGAGCCUGGUCAGUACUUAGAUGGAUAGCGUUUGGGAAUACCAGGUGCUC